GGAAUUUUAGGGAAUAAUGAAGUUUGGCUGGACAUUAGAUGAGAUACGACAUUGGGAGGCAGGGGGUGAGUGAGGGUCUGGAGGAUGUUGAGUACUGAACUACACAGUGACACUUUUUUUUUUUUAGGUAAAUAGAAAAUCAUUACAAUUUUUAAAUAAGGUUAUGGUGUGAUCAGAGCUGGCCUUUGGAAGGAUAAGACUAAUUUUGUGGCAGUGGGUAGGGUUGCUGGAGUGUAGCUAUACUAUGUUAUUCUCAUUGUAGACUCAAGAUAGUUAAGAAUAUUGUCGCGAAGCACGAAUAUGUAAUAAUUGCAAAUUAAUCCUAUAAACCCUUAAUGGGUAAUAAAAAUAAGUUUGAAGCACCCUAUUUUCACAUGAAGGGUUUCCUGUUAAUUAAAGUCUUUAGUGACAUUUUACAUUUUAUCCAGAAAUUGUGGUUUUGUUUUUCUUUUCCCUGAGUAUUGAUGUUUACUUUCAAGGCAAAAUAGAAGACAAUGUGAUUUAUUUUCACCAAUUCCUUGGUUUACGGAAGUCUGUAGAAUGAUCUAUGGCACAUUAUAUUUUUAUGGCAUAUGUUACAGUAUGUUGGUAAAAUGAAUUAUAGUGCUUUAUUAAAGAUUUGAAAGAAUAUGUCUUUUACAUAAAGAACAAAAUGUAAGGAAAAAAUCCUUCUAAUGAAGAAAUUGUUAUUAACCCUGUAAGAGUGUUUCCAAUUCAGUUUAACUCAAUAUCAAAAGGUUACAUUAUUUCAUCAAUAUUAAUAUCAAUAUCAAAAGGUUACAUUAUUUCAUCAAUAUUAAUAUCAAUAUCAAAGGUUACAUUAUUUCAUCUAAAUAUUUUAUUUUCAUUGUGAAAAAAUGCACUGAUUUAAUGGAUUUUUGUGUGUGUGAUUUUAUGUGUUUACUAUUCUUCUAUAUGACUUCAAUGACUUAAUUUUUGUCCAUGGGAAUAAUUUUACUUUUUCUUAAUUUUCAUCUUAUCUGUUUUACAUGCUUGUUAAUAGAAAUAAUGAUAAUCUCGGACGGGUGCAGUGGCUCAUGCUUGUAAUACCAGCACUUUGGGAGGCUGAGGCGGGCAGAUCACUUGAGCUCAGGAGUUCGAGACCAGCCUGGCCAAUGUGGUGAAACCUCGUCUCUACAAAAACACAAAAAUUAGCAGGGUAUGGUGGUGCACACCUGUAAUCCCAGCUACUCGGGAGGCUGAGGAAGGAGAAUCUCUUGAACCCGGGAGACAGAGAUUGCAGUGAGCUAAGACCGGGCCACUGACUACAGCCUGGGCACCAGAGCAAGACUUUGUCUCAAAAAAGAAAAAAGAAAAGAAAAAAAUAGAAAGAAUGACAAUCUUUACCUGUUAUUGAAUUCUGAAUUGUUAUAUUUUUGCGAGUCAUAACAUGUAUUUCAUUUUCCAAAGAAAAAAGAGCUCAAACACAAAGAAACAAGUUUAGCCAUUGACAUUUCUUUUUCAGGAAGCUCAUGUUCCUCUUUCAAAUGGCAAGUUGACUCUAGAGCACCACAUUGAUAUUGAUCAUAAAAUGGUGAAAUGCUUAAGAUCCUCAAAUUGCUGCAAUCUGGAGCAUGUAUGAUAGUCACAUAAAGUUCAUCCUGGCACCAUGGUCCUUUCUAAAUGGAGCUGGCAGUUCAUUUUCAGUUUGUCCCAAUUAGCCAUUCCUUUUAACAAAGGACUAGGAAGUUGUAGCAAACCCAUGGAACCCGGGUAGGUGGAAGGGAAGUAGCUUGAAGCAGGAAUGGGAACCCAGCUUAUCGCACAAACUACAUGAGCAAACUUAGUAAAAACUCCACACAUAACAUUUUGAGCAAUUACAGAUCUAUGAACUAAGAAUUUUCUUUAAAUGGAAGGAAAUAAGAACUCUGAUAUUAGGAAGUAGCAUCUCAGAAUAAACUAAUACAUAAAUAGAAAAACUUAAACAAGAAAAAUCCAUACUGUAGGGUAAAGAUUUUCACCAGCUUUUUCUAUACCAUGCUAUUCAUUUAAUAAGGACAUAUAUAUUGAGUACAUAAUAGAGACUUAUAAUUUAUGAGUAAGCUACUAUAUAUUUCAUAAUGGGUAGUAUACUCCAUGAGUCAGUCUUAAAGCCUUUUUUGUUUGAGUAAAUAUCUUCUCCUAGUAUUGUUUAGAGAAGCACCUGUGUUUGGCAGGCUCUAGCAAACUUUUGCAGUCAUUAUAUAUUGUAUCUGCACAGCCUACAAAAAUCAGGAAAGCCAUCUCCCUUACAGAAUAUUGCCUUACUGAGACUUAUCUUGUCUUAAUCAACUGAAUAUUACGAUAGAUUAUGAGAACCUAAUCAUAAACUUUUACUGAACAGUUUUCUUUGGUAGAGAUAAGAGGGAAGCAAUUUUUAAAAGGACAGAUAACUGCAAAAUAAUUUCAUAAAACAUCUUUAUGGUGAUAAACCCCAACUUUAUAUACUUGUAUAAAUGUGCACAUUGUCUCUUAUGAACUCACAUAAUCCUUUACGUGUAGUAUCUGUUAAACCAUGACUAACUUCUGUAGUAUGACCCUAGGACUCAUAUUUAUAAUAAUAACUGCAGACACACAGUGCUUAUUAAGUGCCAGACACUAUUUUAAUUGCUAUGUAUUUACUGGUUCUGGACAUUCCCUAUAAAUGAAAUCAUAGAAUAUGUGACCUUUCCUUUCACUUAGUAUAAUAUUUUCAAAGUUUAUCCACUUUGUGUCAUGUAGAAGUAUUUCCUUCUUUCCUUUGAAAGAUAGAAUGUUAUGGCUGGGCGUGGUGGCUCAUGCCUGUAAUCCCAGCACUUUGGGAGGCUGAGGCGGGUGGAUCACGAGGUCAGGAGAUUGAGACCAUCCUGGCUAACACGGU
rnacentral:lncRNA from 10 species